UUUAUAUAUGUGGCCUAUCAAUAUCAUGUGUUUGGAAAAGCAUAAACUUAAGGCAUCACCUUUACAGAAAAUAUCUUCCAUGGAAACAUCUAAAGGCAAAAAUCCUUCAAAUUCAAAUUUAUCCAAUCAUUUCUUCUGCUUACUACCAUCCUAAAUCAUUUUUCUUUAGUAAGAUCUAUUAGUGUGAAGCUAUUAAGCUAUUAAUGUAAGUAUCAUAUUAAUGUAUUAAGAUAUUAAGUGAGGAAGUAAAGUUGCAUUCAUAGGCCUUGAACUUUUCCACAUCUCGAUUUUUACCCAUCAUCUCUGCAUAUUUUCCUAAGGCAGCCUUCAAAUGGUGAUGUUUCCUGUCAUCCAGAGUUCAGAAGUGCCUUCUCUUCAACCUUUCUGUGGAAUUCUAAACCACGUGAUAAAGGAGCUGGUGGCCACAGAUCAGCCCUGGGGUUCAGAGGGAUCCUGACGGCUACUCCUCAAGAUCCUCUCUGUUGUGAUUCAUCCCCCCCAGGCCCUACAGUUUCUCCUUCCUGACUCUUACAUUUCUUUGGAUGGCAUCACUAUUAAGCCUGUGGCUGACUGACAGCUCAACUUGGAGAAGGUGUUACCUGGGCCAGGUGGGGAAGGUAGGGUUGUUUGCAGAGCAAAGAAGUGAAGGAAGUAUUAACCCUUUGCAUGGCCUCCUGAGAAUCUGACAAGACGUAAAUAGCCAAGAAUAUCUGUGGAACUUAAUCAGUGAGUUACAAUAUUUAUCACUGCAAGUGUGUUGUUCAUUGACACUAUAAAGCCAUAUGGAAUUAAGCAGCCUUGAAACACAAAAUGGAGAAAGGCUAAGAGCUGAGAAUUGUUGCCUUCAGGGAAAUAUAAUCAAUGUCAAGCAAACAACCACCCCAAAAUGGUUAGCUUUAUCAGCAUUCAGGCCUACAGUGAAAGC
rnacentral:antisense_RNA from 1 species